rnacentral:tRNA from 1 species
GUGGCUCAAUGGUAGAGCAUCUGAUUUGCAUGCAGAAGGUCCUGGGUUCAAUCCCAAGUAUCCA